GAAAUGCGAUAACUAAUGUGAAUUGCAGAAUUCAGUGAAUCAUCGAAUCUUUGAACGCACAUUGCGCCCGCCAGUAUUCUGGCGGGCAUGCCUGUUCGAGCGUCAUUACAACCCUCAGGCCCCCGGGCCUGGCGUUGGGGAUCGGCGGAAGCCCCCUGCGGGCACAACGCCGUCCCCCAAAUACAGUGGCGGUCCCGCCGCAGCUUCCAUUGCGUAGUAGCUAACACCUCGCAACUGGAGAGCGGCGCGGCCACGCCGUAAAACACCCAACUUCUGAAUGUUGACCUCGAAUCAGGUAGGAAUACCCGCUGAACUUAAGC
rnacentral:misc_RNA from 1 species